GCUUCCCCUCAGGGCCCUUCGCCAUCGCUCGGCUUCCCCUCAGGGCCCUUUGCCAUCGCUCGGCUUCCCCUCAGGGCCCUUCGCCAUCGCUCGGCUUCCCCUCAGGGCCCUUCGCCAUCACUCGGCUUCCCCUCAGGGCCCUUCGCCAUCUUGGCGCGCAGGAGGAGCCACACAGCUGAGGAACAGCUCAUGUUAUUUAUGGGGGCACUCCGUGGGACACAGCAACAGCUGGCUGCCACUGCAGCUGAAAAUCUCCUAACUACAGUUCUCUGGAAUGUGGGGGCACAGCAGGAACUGGAGAAAUGGAAACCUGAGUGGGAGCAAACUGACAAAAAUCCCUGGGAUGGAGCAGGUUCAGGAAACCAGAGUGCUCACGAUUUUUAAAUAUCAAAUAACUCCGAAGAGACAGUUUUAGAUGCAGUUUUGUGUGUGGAUUCAUGGCCUGUGUCAAACAUACAGCAGCUGCAUCCUCUGUAUUCAGAUAUUGAUUGAUGGUUCUUCUUGAUAAAGAAGGCAGCAAGGACAAGACAAGUAGGACUUCUUGCAAGUAACAUAUUUGAAGAGGAUACACACGAAAGCACUUAAACAAAAGGCAGAGAAUUGUGCCGAGUAAAGGAACUUGAAAGACAAUAAACAUUCAAGUGCUGAUUGAUGAUGACUCUUAAAGCCUAACAUGCUCACAGGAGCAAAACCUGCAUCCCCAUGGAGCUGCUGUCACUGAAAUUGAGUCUUUAUGAAAAAGGAAGAGCAAACAGACAAGAAAGCUGAAAGAGGAAGAAUAGGAUUAAUGUGUACAGAGUAGAUUUGGGAGGAGCAGAGUGUUUCAGGCGCUUAAUUCUCGACCCCAAACAUUUUGCUUGUUCUAGGGCCUGACACAGCUCUUGCUCGUCCUAGCAGAACUUAGAUGUUGGAUUGGGUAGACUCUUGGAUCCGAUAUAUUGUGGCAGAUCCUACAUUUCUACAAGAUUAGACAAGAUUAUAGGAUAGAAAAUUAGCUUACUUAAGGAAUGAUACUUAAUACUUUAAGCAUCAGUUAGGAUAAACAUGCAUUUAAAAUCUUCUCCGAACUUUCUGAAAAUCUGGUCUGAAAAACUGCUUGAAAAUGUUCCAAAUUGGUAAAAGAAUUGUUGACUUUGUUCACACAAAUAGAAAUGAAUGUAGCCUAUUAGAAAGAAUUUAAAUGCUUGUGUCUCUGUUAGUUCUGGAACUGCAAAUCUUUGAUGUCUGGAUAAACCAUAGGAUAAUUGAUUGUGUACAUUGGUAUUCCGAAGUCCAUAGUUGUUGAAAUGAUUCACAGAAAGAAAUCAGUCAGUAUUAGAUUUGAAGUGACCAUGACCAUGAAUUCAAACAAUUUCUUGGUAUUGUCCUGUAAAUACUGAUGUUCCACAACUGAAAUGGGAAGAGCUUUUAAAUACUGCAUUUAGCACAGAUGUUUCCUGUUAUAACAGAUUAGUAAAAUUUCAGUAUUCAAUAGGCUUUUAACACCCACCCUCCAUCUGUGGUAUUCAUUUUCAGCAUUGUGGAAUAGGCCAAAAAAGCAGGCAUAUAAUUAAAAAGAAACCCCAUCAGGGUGUUUUCUCUA